rnacentral:rRNA from 1 species
UUGGAGGGCAAGUCUGKUGCCAGCAGCCGCGKUAAUUCCAGCUCCAAUAGCGUAUAUUAAAGUUGUUGCAGUUAAAAAGCUSGUAGUUGAAUUUCGGGAUCAAUUUGUUGGUCGUGCCUCGGUAMGUASUGGCAUUAUUGGUUUSUACCUUYUGAAGAACCUUGAUGUCAUUAAUUUGGUGUCUUGGGGAAUCAGGACUGUUACUUUGAAAAAAUUAGAGUGUUUAAAGCAGGCAUACGCUUGAAUACAUUAGCAUGGAAUAAUGAAAUAGGACGKUUGAUUCUAUUUUGUUGGUUUYUAGGAUCGACGUAAUGAUURAUAGGGAUAGUUGGGGGCAUUAGUAUUCAAUUGUCAGAGGUGAAAUUCUUGGAUUUAUUGAAGACUAACUACUGCGAAAGCAUUUGCCAWGGAUGUUUUCAUUAAUCAAGAACGAAAGUUAGGGGAUCGAAGACGAUCAGAUACCGUCGUAGUCUUAACCAUAAACUAUGCCGACUAGGGAUCGGAUGAUGUUAUUUUUAAUGACUCRWUCGGCGCCUUACGGGAAAC